rnacentral:tRNA from 1 species
GGAGUUGUGGCUCAGUGGUGGAGCGCUCACCUAGCACGUGUGGGGCCCUGGGUUCGAUCCUCAGCACCA